AUUGCAGUUAAAUCUAACCCCACAAUUUAACAGGAGUGUCCUCACUGUUGUAGGAAAUACAGAUGUGAGUAUCUACUGGCAUGAUCGGGAACGACUAGCUGUCAGACCCAUACAUGGAGAAGAUUCUCAAGGAAGAAGCCGUGCACAGUAUGAGAUCAAAAUUCGCAGAGCAGAGAAGUUUAAAGACAAACUGAUUUUUACACUCCCAGCAACUGGUCAGAUCACGGAAGUUAAUGUUAACUAUGAACCUGAAGAGAGAAGAGCAACAAUUGUUAACCUUAAUCUAUGGGCUACUGCAGCUGCUUGUUUCAUCUUGCUUAUAGUCACAGCCACUGUAUUCAUUUCUUACUUGGAUCAACCUGUGAGAUCCCGACCAUCUGCUCCUCCUGGCACACCAAGUGUAGCUGCACCUGUAACUCCUGAGCGAAGCAGUCCUGCUGGAGUAAGCGAACAUUCACCUCGGACACCUCAACCUUUCUUGGAUUAUGUUAGGAGGACAAUUGAUGAAACUCCAUACUACAGACAAGACUUUAGGAGGAGGGCUAACCCUCAGAACACUUACUAGCAUGUUGUGGGGCCAAUUCACCUCUUCCCUACUCCCCCUUUUGCCUUUGCCAGAUAUGCCAAUUCACCUCUUCCCUACUCCCCCUUUUGCCUUUGCCAGAUAUGCCAAAUGGUUUCUCAGGUAAUUGCCAAAGGUCUUGAAUCUGGCUGCAAACUUUACAAUGAUAGUGUUGUAGUUUUUUUGGUGUAAUUUUGUGUAGAGUAUUGCAAGCUGUGUGUCAUUGGAUACUUUCUAGAGAAGCAGCCUCAUCUGCCAAAAAAAUCUUAUGUCCUGCUUUCUGCUGGAAAAGGCAAUACAACAGCACUUUCUACAGUACAACUUGCCUAUGCACAAACUAGAAAACAUCUCUCUGAUGAAGCAGUUGAGAUUGUGCUCAUCAUAUUUGGUAAAAUCAGGUUUGAAUGUGAAGACAAUUUUUAAAUAGCUGCACUGUCUAAUUAUUUUGAUUAUAGCACUAUGAGUCUAUGACUAUUAGGCUCG
rnacentral:misc_RNA from 1 species